rnacentral:rRNA from 1 species
AACGUAGGUGGCAAGCGUUAUCCGGAUUUACUGGGCGUAAAGGGUGUGCAGGCGGGGCGACAAGUGGUGUAUGAAAGCGCUCGGCUCAACCGGGCCAAGUUAUGCCAGACUGUCGUUCUGGAGUGCGAGAGAGGGGCAUGGAAUUCCGGGUGUAGUGGUGAAAUGCGUAGAGAUCCGGAGGAACCCCAGAGGCGAAGGCGGUGCCCUGGCUCGCAACUGACGCUCAUACACGACAGCAUGGGGAG